AGAUUAAGUUAUUAAGGGCGCACGGUGGAUGCCUUGGCACUAGAAGCCGAUGAAGGACGUUACUAACGACGAUAUGCUUUGGGGAGCUGUAAGUAAGCUUUGAUCCAGAGAUUUCCGAAUGGGGAAACCCAGCAUGAGUUAUGUCAUGUUAUCGAUAUGUGAAUACAUAGCAUAUCAGAAGGCACACCCGGAGAACUGAAACAUCUUAGUACCCGGAGGAAGAGAAAGAAAAUUCGAUUCCCUUAGUAGCGGCGAGCGAAACGGGAAGAGCCCAAACCAACAAGCUUGCUUGUUGGGGUUGUAGGACACUCUAUACGGAGUUACAAAGGACGACAUUAGACGAAUCAUCUGGAAAGAUGAAUCAAAGAAGGUAAUAAUCCUGUAGUCGAAAAUGUUGUCUCUCUUGAGUGGAUCCUGAGUACGACGGAGCACGUGAAAUUCCGUCGGAAUCUGGGAGGACCAUCUCCUAAGGCUAAAUACUCUCUAGUGACCGAUAGUGAACCAGUACCGUGAGGGAAAGGUGAAAAGCACCCCGGAAGGGGAGUGAAAUAGAACCUGAAACCGUGUGCUUACAAGUAGUCAGAGCCUGUUAAUGGGUGAUGGCGUGCCUUUUGUAGAAUGA
rnacentral:rRNA from 1 species